GCUCAACCGAGGAAGUGCUUCGAAAACUGGUAAACUUGAGUGCAGAAGAGGAAAGUGGAACUCCAUGUGUAGCGGUGGAAUGCGUAGAUAUAUGGAAGAACACCAGUGGCGAAGGCGGCUUUCUGGUCUGUAACUGACGCUGAGAUUCGAAAGCAUGGGUAGCAAACAGGAUUAGAUACCCUGGUAGUCCAUGCCGUAAACGAUGAGUGCUAAGUGUUGGAGGGUUUCCGCCCUUCAGUGCUGCAGCUAACGCAUUAAGCACUCCGCCUGGGGAGUACGAUCGCAAGAUUGAAACUCAAAGGAAUUGACGGGGGCCCGCACAAGCGGUGGAGCAUGUGGUUUAAUUCGAAGCAACGCGAAGAACCUUACCAGGUCUUGACAUACCAUGAAAAGCUAAGAGAUUAGUCUUUCCCUUCGGGGACAUGGAUACAGGUGGUGCAUGGUUGUCGUCAGCUCGUGUCGUGAGAUGUUGGGUUAAGUCCCGCAACGAGCGCAACCCUUAUUAUCAGUUGCCAGCAUUCAGUUGGGCACUCUGGUGAGACUGCCGGUGACAAACCGGAGGAAGGUGGGGACGACGUCAAAUCAUCAUGCCCCUUAUGACCUGGGCUACACACGUGCUACAAUGGUCGGUACAACG
rnacentral:rRNA from 1 species